GACGAACGCUGGCGGCGUGCUUAACACAUGCAAGUCGAACGGAAAGGCCCUGCUUUUGUGGGGUGCUCGAGUGGCGAACGGGUGAGUAACACGUGAGUAACCUGCCCUUGACUUUGGGAUAACUUCAGGAAACUGGGGCUAAUACCGGAUAGGAUCUCCUGCUGCAUGGUGGGGGUUGGAAAGUUUCGGCGGUUGGGGAUGGACUCGCGGCUUAUCCGCUUGUUGGUGGGGUAGUGGCUUACCAAGGCUUUGACGGGUAGCCGGCCUGAGAGGGUGACCGGCCACAUUGGGCCUGCGAUACGGCCCAGACUCCUACGGGAGGCAGCAGUGGGGAAUAUUGCACAAUGGGCGGAAGCCUGAUGCAGCAACGCCGCGUGCGGGAUGACGGCCUUCGGGUUGUAAACCGCUUUCGCCUGUGACGAAGCGUGAGUGACGGUAAUGGGUAAAGAAGCACCGGCUAACUACGUG
rnacentral:rRNA from 1 species